rnacentral:rRNA from 1 species
UACGGAAGGCAGCAGUGGGGAAUAUUGCACAAUGGGCGCAAGCCUGAUGCAGCCAUGCCGCGUGUAUGAAGAAGGCCUUCGGGUUGUAAAGUACUUUCAGUCGUGAGGAAGGUGUUAAGGUUAAUAACCUUAGCAAUUGACGUUAGCGACAGAAGAAGCACCGGCUAACUCCGUGCCAGCAGCCGCGGUAAUACGGAGGGUGCGAGCGUUAAUCGGAAUUACUGGGCGUAAAAGGGCACGCAGGCGGUUAAUUAAGUUGGAUGUGAAAAUCCCCGGGCUUAAACCUGGGAAUGGCAUUCAAGACUGGUUAGCUAGAGUCUUGUAGAGGGGGUAGAAUUCCAUGUGUAGCGGUGAAAUGCGUAGAGAUGUGGAGGAAUACCGGUGGCGAAAGGCGGCCCCUGGACAAAAGACUGACGCUCAUGUGCGAAAAGCGUGGGGAGCAAAACAGGGAUUAGAUACC